GACGAACCGUGCGAACGUUGUUCGGAAUCACUGGGCUUAAAGGGCGCGUAGGCGGGUCAGCAAGUCCGGGGUGAAAUCUUUCGGCUCAACCGGAAAAGUGCCUCGGAUACUGCUGGUCUUGAGGGAGGUAGGGGUUUGUGGAACUUCUGGUGGAGCGGUGAAAUGCGUUGAUAUCGUAAGGAAGACCAGUGGCGAAGGCGGGUCUCUGGACAGUUCCUGACGCUGAGGCACGAAGGCCAGGGGAGCAAACGGG
rnacentral:rRNA from 1 species